GCCGAUGUAGCUCAGUUGGUCAGAGCAGCUGAUUUGUAAUCAGCUGGCCGGGGGUUCGAAUCCCUCCAUCGGCU
rnacentral:tRNA from 2 species